rnacentral:rRNA from 1 species
UGAGGAAUAUUGGACAAUGGGUGAGAGCCUGAUCCAGCCAUCCCGCGUGAAGGACGACGGCCCUAUGGGUUGUAAACUUCUUUUGUACAGGGAUAAACCUAUUUACGUGUAAAUAGCUGAAGGUACUGUACGAAUAAGCACCGGCUAACUCCGUGCCAGCAGCCGCGGUAAUACGGAGGGUGCAAGCGUUAUCCGGAUUUAUUGGGUUUAAAGGGUCCGUAGGCGGAUCCGUAAGUCAGUGGUGAAAUCUCAUAGCUUAACUAUGAAACUGCCAUUGAUACUGCGGGUCUUGAGUAAGGUAGAAGUAGCUGGAAUAAGUAGUGUAGCGGUGAAAUGCAUAGAUAUUACUUAGAACACCAAUUGCGAAGGCAGGUUACUAUGUCUUAACUGACGCUGAUGGACGAAAGCGUGGGGAGCGAACAGG